AUAAAGCUUGUAAUCCUUUCGGGAGAGAGAGAUUGCGUGGCUUUCCGGAGUUUAUUGGAAAGUGGUGGUGGAUUUGUGUGACCUCUGCGGGUUGUAGUGGCGCGGGAGGGGAGGGGAGGUGCGCGCGCACCCCCGGGUUUGUUUGCGUUCGGGCGCGCGCGCUCCCCGCCAGGCAGGGCCAGGGAUCUUGUUUUCCCCAACCAACCCCUCCGGCUCGACGCGAUAUUUUCAAGGAGGUAACACCCAGGAUUUCAUUACGCUAAAAAGAGAGGGGGGAGGGGGAGAGAGAGGAGGAAAGAGAGGGAGACGAGAAAGAAGAGGGAGGGGGAGAGAAGAUGAGGGGGAAAGAGAGCAAGAAGGAGAGAGGGAGAAAGGGAGAGAGAGAGAGAAGAAAGGAACAAGGGAAAGCAGCGCUCUUUUCUCCCAUCCCUACCCCCUCCUUUCCUCCAACGAAGAACUGCUCUUUUGGACUGCUGAGAGUCCUCCGGGCUGUAUGGCCAUGUUCCAGAAGCAUUCUCUCCUGACGUUUCGCCCACAUCUAUGGCAGGCAUCCUCAGAGGUUGUGAGAUAUAUUGGAAACCAGGACAAGGGAUGUUUAUAUAUCUGUGGAAGGUCCAGGGUGGGAGAAAGAACUCUUGUAUGUUGGAGGCAGGUGUGACUGUUGCAGUUAAUCACCUUGAUUAGCAUUGAAUAGCUUUGCAGCUUCAAAGCUUGGCUGCUUCCUACUUGGGGGGAUACUUUGUUGGGAGGUGUUAGCUGGCCCUGAUUGUUUCAUGUCUGGAAUUCUAUUGUUUUCAGAGUGUUGUUCUUUAUUUUCUGUCCUGAUUUUAGGGGUUUUUUUUUAAUACUGGUGGCCAGAUUUGGUUCAAUUUCAUGGUUUCCUCCUUUCUGUUGAAAUAGUCCCCAUACUUGUGGAUUUCAGUAGCUUCUCUGUGCAGUCUGACAUGGUGGUCGUUAGAGUGGUCCAGCAUUUCUGUGUUCUCCAAUAAUAUGCUGUGUCCAGGUUGCUCUGCCAUGGCUGACUUCUCUGUAGUUGAAUUAGUCUGCAGUACCUUUCAUGUCCCUUGAUUCGUGUUUGGGCAAGGCUGCGUUUGGUGGUCCCUGUGUAGACUCUUUUGUGCUCUUUUGUGCCGGGGAAGAGGAAGGAAGGAGGGAAGGAAAGAAGGAAGGAAAGAAGGAGGGAAGGACGGCGGCAGGCAGCUGAUUAGGAUGCAGGAAGCGACCUGCCCUCUAUUGGAAAAAGGAGGAACGAGGGACGGCGAGGGGAGGAGGGAAUGAGGUAAGGAGAGGAGGGGAGGGGAGGGGAGGGGAGGGGAGGGGAAAGGAGGCAGCGGGAAAGCAGCCGCAGCUGCAGCCCAGGCUGGAUAUCCAACAACGGCUUGCCUCAACCUCCCCUUGACGCUUUUUCCUCCCCAAGCUUCGGACAGAAGGAGCGCCUCAUCUCUUCCUCUUUCUCCUCCUCUUCCUCUCCUCUCCAGCGGACACGGACCACGAGAGCUGCUCCCGCCUUCCCGGAAACCGGGGGAAGGGAUCCGGAAGGCCGCCUCCUCCUCCUCCGAUGGAGUCCUUUCGGAGACGUCGGACCUCUAAGCUUCUUUCCACGGACCAGAACGGAGCCCGUUUUCGCUGGACAAACCAAAAACUGACCAACAGAGAGCCCCCUCCUCCAGCGCCCGCCGCCCUGCCUCAGUUUCCAUCUGGUUUCCUACAACUCUUCGGCUGGUAGAGGCGCCGCCACCGCUGCUUCCUCUGACGGAACCAAUCCGGAUUGGACAUCAGGCGGGGAUGCUAUUCCAGAUGCUAUUCUCGUCCUUCCUUCUUCCCCUCUUCUUCUUCUCCCCAUCCUCUUCCUCCUCCUCCUCUUCUUAGGAUAGACUCAGAUGAGUCUCCAAGGAUGGCGCUCUUCAUGUUUCCUGCUUUAGGAAACGAGUCAAAACUUCAAUGUGUUGUUGAAGGCUUUCAUGGCCGGAAUCGCUGGGUUGCUGUGAGUUUUCCGGGCUAGAUGGCCAUCUUCCAGAAGAAUUCUCUCCUGAGCUUUCGCCUACAUCUAUGGCAGGCAUCCUCAGAGGUUGUGAGGUCUGUUGGAAACGAGGCAAUUUGGAUGUAUAUAUCUUCCUAACACCUCCAAACAAAGAAUUCCCCAUGGCAGGAAUCAGCCAGGCCUUGAAGCUGCAAGACUUUUCGAUGCCAAUCAAGGAGAUUAAUUGCGACAUUCACACCUGCCUCAAACAGACAAUGGUUCUUUCUCCCACCCUGAACCUUGCACAGAUAUAUAAACCUCACCUGUCUAGUUUACAAUAUAUACCUCACAACCUCUGAGGAUGCCUGCCAUAGAUGUGGGCGAAACGUCAGGAGAGAAUGCUUCUGGAACAUGGCCACAGAGCCGGGAAAACUCAAAGCAACCUACCCAGUCAAGCCUUGCAUUGAGCCGAGUUCCCUGUCCCCAGAAGAGUCGUGUGUGUGGCGUGUGUGUGUGUGUGUGUGUGGGCACGUAGGCGUGUGGAAAGAGGGGAGGGGAGGGAGGGAAUGCUGAAAUGACUUCUGCUGCUGCCCAGAAAUGGCUGGCGGGAGGGGAGGGGGGAGGAAGGGAGCGACCAAAUCCGGCCGUCUUCAAGAGCAAUCAGGGCAAAGCCCUGUCAUUCUGUGGUCUUAAGAAAUGAAAGAGAGGGGAGGGAGGGAGGGAGGGGAGGGAGGGGGGAAAGCCCUGGCCACAUUAGAGCAGCUUAAGGAGGUGGCUUUAAAAGCCCGGCACACACUGGAAACGGACUCCUGCCCGCUGAAGCUGGCAGAUGGGCUCGGGAGCGGCCUCGCAUUCAAAGCCGGGUUUGGGAGAUGAAUGGAGGGCGAAGGAGAGGGGCGGCAAGGGCGGGAGGGAGUUGUGGCUUUCCUCUCUCUUUUUUGUGAAAGGACGCCGGCUAUUUCGUCUGCAGAGAGACAGAGAACAGGCGGGACCGGAGGCGCUGCCUCUCCGUGUUCACAGCGGACCUUGAUUUAAUGUCAUACAAUUAAGGCACGCGGUGAAUGCCAAGAGCGGGGCUGGAAGGCGACGAGGAGCCACGUCCAGAAAGAAAGAAAAAAAGAAAGGGGGAAAAAGGGGGAAGGGGAAGAUCUACAAUCGGAAUUCCUCGGAGGCAAUGCAUUUCCGUCAAGAAAGAAGGCAUUAGGCGUUACAACCCUUCCGGAGGGAGAGCUUACCCCAAAAACAGGUAAGUGGGGUUUGGUUUUUCCCCGAGAUUCCGAUCCAAACAACUUUGUAAAGACGAGAGAAGGGAAAUAAAUACCUUUGCCAUGAUGACGAAA